GUUCAUUUGCGGUGUGGCUGGAUGAAUAACGCGAUUUGUCAAAGAACGUAUUUCAACAAAAUUGUAAAUUAGUGGCAGCUGAAAAGAUCUAUCUGCCCUUCGUCGUACUGCUGUAAAUUAUGAUACGGUGGAGGUCUAGCUGUCCAUUUGUGUCCCAUGGUCAACAAAACAGCGCGAUACGGUUCAACAGACUGACGAAGCUAUGGGAAAGAAAAUGGACCGGAAAAUUAAGUCGCAAACAGAACACCAGAAAGUGGACAUACGUAAGAAAUAUGAUCUGCGUUCUUCUAACCGUAAUGAUGGCAGUAGUGGUGGAUCAGCUUAUUCGCGUUUGCCCGGCCAGCAACACGGAAGGUCUGUGAAAAAAUUUCGAGCUACGUACUUUUCCAGCUGACCCAGGAAGUGACAUGCAUGCCCUCCAGUAUGUUCAAAGCUGAAAAUAGGCCUAGUU